UAAGUCUAUUUAUGAGUUUUGUUCGAAACUGAGAGCAUGAACUGCAAGAUCGUAACUUAUCCCUACAUUUGAAAACAGGCGAAAAUAUAAAUAAUUGGUUAUUCGCCAUAUGACUGGAAAGGGUAAGAUGUAAAAGAGACCGAGUGACUAGAAACGAUUGUCCUCUCAUUCUCAUUAUAGGCUGACCGUGCAUGUUUCAUUAAACGUAUGUAGAGAUAUGUAAUGAGGACAGUCCAUGUUGACCACGAUAUGGAUGACGGGUAUCACCAGUCGGUGUAUUACCAAUGAUCUAGUUCCAAUAUGAAGUCUGUGUCAGGCAUAAAUAUGUAUUCGAUAAUUGAUUGAUGACCACAUUAAGAUUAUAAUAGUUUGUAUCUUUUUCUAUCGUUUGAAGAAAAGCAAGCCAUGUAGCCUAUAGCCUAAUUGGGAAAAUGUCGCAGUUUCUUCUCUAUCGUCAAAUUCGUCCCUGUUACAUAUGUCACUGAUAUAAUAAGUGCAAUGGCUAUCUAUUUUGAAAUAUCCGUGACAAUUCAAAUGCAAAUUAUUAAUACGUCAUUGCGUUUGUAAAAAAAAAAGUGUUUAUGUUCACGCAGCUCUCUUUUUAUUACACUUUGCUGUAGACCUUGUUUGGGUCUGUAUCUUGCUUUAGCCUAACCGUCAAUAGGUGCUACAGUGUGAUUGGAACUGCAUAUUUAUCUAGUUCACAUAGCUGACAUGCCUCACUUGCCAUAUUGGUUAAAGUGCGUCACACUAUUCCAUGUUACAAAUUCGAAAAAGGGUGGUUUGGUUUUACAAGUAGCAAGAGCAAUUGAUGUGCAAUAAUCUUAGAAUGCUGUAGCCUAUGCAUGCAAACCCCAUGCGUGUUUGUCAAAACAAACAACUUGCAGGUCGAUGACAGCAUGUACCCUGUUUGGAGGGAAAAAUCUUUACGUGUGCCCGUCUGACCACUUCUAUUGGGUGACACAUAAGAGGAGCAGUUCGGGAAAAAGGUUCACUUGACGAGGAGGCUGAGUUACGAGUAGGGACUACGGAAUCUCCCAACAGCUCGCACAAAUAAAUUGGGCUGGAAAAUUGGCGACGACUUGAUUGAGAGCGCGUGCAUAGCCCCGCAGGAAGAUUUGAAUGGUGGUGUAAAAUAUAAGGGGUUGGAGGAAUAUGGCCCUGAUUCCCCUGCUGUCGGAGAGAGGCCUAAUGGAGAUGUCUGGGACUUGGCCUACUACUAAACCAACAUGAGCCCUCCCUUUCGCCCUCGGCCUCUCUGUCUCUGGUGGAGGCUCUGGCUCGGAUAAGGUGUCAACUGCAUAGAACACAACUACUAGUUAAUAUGGUGAGAGGAGCCAGACAGAGAGGAAGAGGAUAGCUUCUGAUUUGUCCAUGUGUUAAGUAUGGCCCACAGAUCAAAGAGGUGGAGCAUUGAUCUGGGUGACUCUCUACAGCUGUCUCGAGUGGAGAGAGAGGCAUGGACUGUCAUUUCCAUCUGAUCAUCAACAACAGUCAAGAUACAGUAUGCUGAUGAAGAAGGAUACAGCAAACUACUAUUUCUUAUCAGCAUGCAUAGUCAGCACUCAGUCAUUUCUGUAUCAUUGUGAUUUAAAAAUCAGUUGCAACUGUUUACCUUCUACUGGGCUGUAAAAGUACAACAUCAUUUAUUCUGAAUUGUAAAAGUCUUUAUUGUUGUACUGGAUUUCAAGUGAAUCUGUCCUUAGAAUUGAGUAUAAAACCCAAAUGGAACCCACAGUGCACUUGCUCUUCAUCUGAAAUAUGAAUUGAUUGAAACGGUACAUCAAGACAAUAUUUUUGUACGUUCUCAAAUCACUGUAUUUUCUCAAUAAAUGGAAUAAAGUAUAUUCAAUAAUA